UUGCACAACUGUUAUUGUAAGCACCAGCUGGUAAAGUUUUUGCUUAAAUCUUCUAGUUAAAGCUGACAAAUCUCUCUCUCUCUCUCUUUUUUUUUUUUCUUUUCUUUCUUCAGCUUGCAGUGCAAAAAUAAAUCAUUGCUUGAAACAAUGUCCAAAUAAAUGUGACUUUAAGAUGAGAUUAGAAGUACUGAAAUUGGAAGAACAGUGUAUAAGAUACUACUAUUUUCUCUAAUAUUUUUUUCCCCUCUGGUUUAUUUCCUUUUAAAAGACUUUCAGUAGAAUUAUGGAAAUACAAUAAAUCAGAGGAUUUAUUAAAGUCGUCUCCACAUGCAUCAAGUCCAUGCUCACGGCAUCCUGAAGGUAUCAUUCUUGUACCCAAUGACAAUGCCUAAGAAGUCAUGGACAUUAAGAGAUAAAGUACAAGCAUCUUGAAUGAAAAUCAAUCUACACUUUGAACUAUUCCUGAGAAAAAAAGAAGAAGAAAAAAAGGUAAGAUUUCACAACUUAGUGGCAGUGAUAAAUAUGUC
rnacentral:lncRNA from 1 species